CUCUAGUAAAUUGACCCAAUGAACAAUUUGUUCAUUGAGCAUGUCUUGCGCUUGCGCUGUGUCAACUCAACCCGCCAACAUAGGGGGCAGCACUCAGUAACUCAGCAGAAGAGACAUGCGUGCCAUGUGCUCGGGCCUCUGGACCAUCCACCAGCAACGUGACCAAGACCUCUUCUUAUCAACGGCUGCUUCUGUUUCCCCGCGAUUAAAGUUUGAAGGAGUUCAGAUGGAGUUAAAAGAUUAUUGGUGAUAGUUACAAGUUUAAAGGAGUUCAGACGGAGUUAAACAUUACUGGAGAUAAAGUUACCAGAUGACUUAACUUUGGUUUUGCUUCCAAAAAAAGAUGAUUGGUCUGAAAAUUUGUCAAAACUGAAUUGGAUUUGUCAUAAAAACACUUCAAAAACUAGUUGCUAGUUCCAGAAUGACCUGGAAAUAACAUCUACGGUCCUACGAGCUGUCGACUGCAAAUACAAGCCUGUCAAUCCACCUUCAGUCUGAGUUGAAUGAUACAGCCCCCCUCUCAGCAUACAAGGUAGACGGAUCGCUGCUGCUGACCCCCAAGAGGUUCAUUCAAGUGAGAGGGAACUGAGUUCAGCACAAUGGCAGCUGCAUCUCCACAACCAAUGAUCCUUCGUGUUGUUGAUCCAGACCAGGCUAGAAAACUAAAACUCAGCUCAAGACCAGCCUCUGUUGAUGCACUGAUCAAGAUUAUAAAAGAACAAUUGGAAAUUGACCUCCACUUUGAUUUGCUGUAUGAAGAUCCAGACUUUGACGGGAAGCUUACUUCCCUUACAGACAUUCAGGAUUUGCCACAAAAAGCUAUUGUCCACAUCGCAGUUUCAGAGGACUC